UAAAUGUUAAUAGAUAAAUUUAAAUUUAACUAAUAGAAAAUGUAACUAAUUUUAAUUUAUCUAUUUAUCUAAAUACUCUUUAGGUAAUAUUUAUUAUUAUUAUUAUUAUUACUGAAUUGCUUAAAUCACUUACAUCAAAGAGAAUCACAUGUUCAUUUCUUGCAGCUUUAAAUUUGUAAAUUUUUUAUUGUAUCCUGUAUCGUACUUUAUAAAAUAAACAAUUUAAAUAAAUUAUUGAAUUAAAUAACAUUCAACAUACUUGCAUAUAUAUUUUCAUAUAUUUUGCAUACAUUCUCACACACUUAGUCUAAUCUGAUCUACUGUAUUCUAAUUGCAUAAUUCUUGCAUUGUGAUUGUAGAGUUACUCAUUUGAUCUGACUCACGUCGACGUAGCUGCCAAUGAUUACACUGACACCCCGCUCAGGAGCGACCAACAAGGCAUAAGCUAUGAACAAACUAACAAAGGCAAGUGUGAAUGCAAAAUUAGUUACGCACCUGGAUAUGAACUUUCUUGAUUUAACCGUGUGCAGUCUGAUCAGAAACCUGCAAGUCUACCUGUAAGUUUGCUUAAACUCUCUUUAUGUCUUUCUGCUCAGAUCUGCCUGUGUGUUCAGACUAUGUACAAGAGGACAAGACUACAGAGGAGAAGACUAAUCCCAUCGCAAAUGGGUCUUGUGGAGAGAAAACUGAACAAGCACCCACCAAUGACAACGAUUAUCAGAAUGUUCCAGAAGAGAACAGUUUCUCUUCAAACUCGAGCUUGAGUACACCCAUGAAGAACGAGGAUUUUAACCUGUACCUAAAUCUGCUUGGAGGUGAUUUAAACGAUUUGACCGAAGCUGAAGCCACCGAUACGACGCAAAAUGAAAACAACAAUAAUGUCAGUAAUGCUGAGCAGGGAGCAGCAGAAGAGAUCUUCACUGAAAUCAGUCUAGAUGAGCCAAACUAGCAUGCAUAGUGUGUGUUUCCAGUGCAGCGGUCAAGAUCUCGGGUGUCCGGUACCUAGAUCCAAACUAUAGACUAUAUGAGUGCAAAAGCAUCCUUCUGCCAUUCUCACUUUAAGUUCUGUUUCAUCUACUGCUAAAGGAGAUUGUAUACUGUACAUAAAAAAAGAACAUUGAAUCAUUGGUUGAAGUUUAUGUAAAAAUUUUAAUGCUUUAUAAAAUAAUUUGUGGCUAUAAUAAACAUUCGCUGUGUAAUGCAAUGCACUUGUGUGUGUUUGACUGACGCCUGAAGCUUCUUCAUUAACAUUCAUUUGAGAGUUUCACUAUAUAAUUUGUUCAGCUGAAGGUGAUGGGCACAAUGGGGAAAGACACAGAGAAAGAGCUUAAAUACUCCUGGUCUUCCUCAGUUUAAGAGGGAAAAUGGCCUAUCACCAGAAGAUGUAUCUUCACUGGCCAAGUAGUGCUUAAUUUGCUUUAUACAGUAUUACCCAAUCACGUUGUACAUAGUUGUGGCAUCGAACAUAAAGACUGCUGUUAUCCUCAACCAGCCCCUAAAUGAACCAGCUACAGUAAUCAUAUAACCAGUGUUGGGGGUAAUGCAUUGCGAGUAUAGCAAGCUAUUAAAAUUAACUUUAAAAAUGACAUUUUCUUGUGAUUGAGAAGAAAGUGUUGAACUUCCUUGCCUUAUGUCUUAUUCUUCAUGCAAUCCAGAAACAAAAACAAGAAUUAUUCAACAAUUCUUCUACUAUGGCGAGUACCACGACACAUGCAUGUGCAUUAUUCGGCUCGUAAACAAGGCGCAGCGCAAGCAUCAUGCUAUUCUCGAUAAUGCCGGUGUCCUGACAUUUUAUCCUACCCCUCAGAUUUUCCUACUAGGGUAUACUGCGCAUUCACACAUCAAUAUUGCGUCCUUUUUCUUGCGCUGAACAACAAUAUUUAAUGUAUCUGCAUUACUGGAAGGGUAGGUUUAGGGUUGGGGUAGGUGUAGACUUUAAUAAAAACACAAUCUAAUCUAGAAAAAAUUAUUUAUUGUUGGUUUCCUGUAGCCGUAUCCCUUCUAGC
rnacentral:lncRNA from 1 species